GACGAACGCUGGCGGCGUGCUUAACACAUGCAAGUCGAACGGAAAGGCCCUGCUUUUGUGGGUUGCUCGAGUGGCGAACGGGUGAGUAACACGUGAGUAACCUGCCCUUGACUUUGGGAUAACUUCAGGAAACUGGGGCUAAUACCGGAUAGGAGCUCCUGCUGCAUGGUGGGGGUUGGAAAGUUUCGGCGGUUGGGGAUGGACUCGCGGCUUAUCAGCUUGUUGGUGGGGUAGUGGCUUACCAAGGCUUUGACGGGUAGCCGGCCUGAGAGGGUGACCGGCCCCAUUGGGACUGAGAUACGGCCCAGACUCCUACGGGAGGCAGCAGUGGGGAAUAUUGCACAAUGGGACGAAGCCUGAUGCAGCAACGCCGCGUGCGGGAUGACGGCCUUCGGGUUGUAAACCGCUUUCGCCUGUGACGAAGCGUGAGUGACGGUAAUGGGUAAAGAAGCACCGGCUAACUACGUG
rnacentral:rRNA from 1 species